AUGCUGUGUGCUUCUUCUACAGAUAUUGCAGUAUGCAGUAUGUUGCCAAUAUUCCCAUUAGAGAUCUGCUUGGAUUUGGCAAUAGCUACAUUAAAAAAAAAAAAAAAAUGCUGGAAGGGUCUCCAAGAGACAGUCCAUCCCUCAAGACAAAGAUUAACUAUGCAUGUUAUCAUUGCUGACAGAUGGAUCUCUAGAAUAUUCCUAAACACUUCAGUGAUGGAAUGUCUCAAAACAAGAAUGCCCACCUCAUGCUGGGCUGCACCUACACCUGGGCACCAAACUCCAGACCAAGGCUUCUUCUCUGCCAGAUGGAACAGAAAGAGUCCAUUCCCAUGACGUGCCAGAUCAACUCCUGCAUGAUGAUUGCCUUCUUCACAAUGAUGUUACUAAUACCUGGCUUGAGGUUCUUCAUAUACAAUGUUUUUUAUUCCACCAAUUAUAUUUCUUCCUGCAUUCAAUGCAGUCUUCCAUUUUUGCACUGAAUUGGUGGUAAAUGCUUUGGGAGCAUGGUGAUCCAAUCAGGUGUUCACCUCUCCCCAUGACAGAGUCUGUCUGUCAGAGGCAUGGGACAGUGGCUCCCCCAUGGCCAAGCAACCAGAACCAGGGGUGACCCAGCUCUGGCUGUGCCCUCACCCACACAGCUCAUUCCCAGGGGGCUUUUAAUGAGGACCAUCAACAGUAAGUGAUGAGUCAGGGUCAGGAAACACCCAGGGACUCCAGACAGGAGCAAAAGGAGAUGGGGACAGGGACAGGGCUGAAGACUGGCCCUGCUGUGGUGUUGCUGGGACAGGGACUGAGGCCCCAGGGAGACUGCAAUGUUGCCCUGGGACGUGAGCAGAGUUGCAGGGGGAAUGCCACAGGUUGAUCAGGGACAUCAAGGCCUAUUGGUGCCCACAGGGCCCAGUGUCAUUGAGAUCAUAUUUUCCCAACGUGUUCAUAAGACUGUCCUGUGAGAAAGUCAAAGUUUUACCAGAGCUGUAGUGUUUGACAGUUGCUGUGAUUUUGUUGCAUUCCCAAGACCUGCUACUGAAGAUGGGAUGUUUGCUUUUUUGAGUAUGACUAUUGGUAGCCUCUAUUUUCUUAUGGUUGAUCAAUGUCCUUUCAUAAACAUAAGAACUUAACCC
rnacentral:lncRNA from 1 species